ensembl:lncRNA
AUGCAGGCCAAACAACAGUAACCUGGUUACUGGGCACCAAAGCCAGCUUCUCCUUAGAAACCUCAACCCUGGAAUAAGAAGUCAGGGCAGUGGGAUGUAUUCUUGUUAUAGGGCACAAGCUGUUCUGAAAUUAAAAGAAUGAGGUUGGUCUUAAAAUCUGGGAUCCAGUUAUGGGGACAACCCCCCAGCCAAGAGGGGGGCUCCAAGGCCCAGAGCACGUGUAGCCCCGAUGGGAGGCUGGGGGCCUCCACCUAGCAUCAGACCAACAAGGAAGCUGUUCGAACUGAUGGAGACAUUCCCAGUACAGAGCCAAGCAGAGCCGGUAUGUCAAGGAGGCUCCACCUGGGGCCUCUCCGAACAGCCUGUCCUCACUGUUUCUCAUCAGAUGCUGGACCCUCUGCUGUGAGGUGAGAGCUGCAUGAAGGUUGCAUCAGCAGCUGUGGCCAGAGGGAAGGUGAUGACCUUGUGGGACCUCAUGCUCCGGACUGAAGGGAGAGGGAGUCAUCACUGUGAAUUCCACAUCCUCUCUUGACCAGAGACACAGGGCUGGGCCUCUUCUCCAGAGGGAGUACACGCGGGAGUUCUAGGAAGAAUCCAGCCCAUCCACUUGUGGGUUGGAGGAGUGUCUUUGUGCCUGGGAAUUAGGACCCUGGCCCCCAACCAUUAGCUCUCCAUCCUGGGCCUGCAGCUCUGGGCCUCAGUAUAGGCUCCUGAGGAAUUGCUGUUCUCCGCCAGCACUUUGGGUCCUUCCUGAGAACCCCUCCUUGAGGCCUGGGAUGGGGGGCAUCUGGAGCUAGCCUCCUCUUCUUGGAAUACAAUAAAGGCAGAUACUGUGCAACCAGAAAAAAAAAAAAAAGUCCAGGACUUUGUAAUUAUAAGGGAAGACUUGAUUCUUAAUGAUAACAGGAGCAUUCCCAGGCUGAACCAACUUAUGUUUGGAAAUCACAAGGCCAGAGUGAAUGUGAAAAACAAAGAUUGACUGAACAUCCCUAAGGGCUCUGGAGACACAAAGGAAAGGCGGUCAGAGUCCCUGCUGUCCUCCCAGGCAGGGAGGUGGGGAGCGACACACGACAACUGUCUCUCCAGGAGGAUCAGAGAGCCCCUGGGCCUGGCCAUGAAAACCAGGAGAAUGCAAAGCAUGUAACAUCUCACUUAGAGCUGACGCAGAAGGGAAGUGACUCUGAAAUAUAGACCCUCUUGGCCUCUGGGGGAGAUUUAUGUGGCGAGGAUCACGCUCCUCAGAGAAAGACUGCAGGUGACUCUGAGGGGCCCAGUGACAUCUAUCUCAGCCUGAAGGACGUGAGGAGGCUGAGAGCACUUGGACCUGGGCCCCCUGAAGGGGACAGUGGCCAUCUCAGCAAUGACCAGAGGGGAUCUCUGGCCCCACAGAAAGGCCUCCAAGAACUUUUCCUGGAAGGUCCAUGACUGAGGCUGAAUUUCCUUCCAACAUAAAAGUGAUGGGAGUUCAGAGUUGUAUUUAAGUUGACUGAACAAAAGAAAGACUUUGCCUUGUGUGUGAUGUGCCUGGCUUCCUUAGUCUGUAGCCUGAGAUUCAACCUGCUAUGAGUGUCUACUAUGUGCUAGA